CGUGGCUCAGCGGUAGAGCAUCGCCUUGCCAAGGCGAGGGUCGCGGGUUCGAUUCCCGUCG
rnacentral:tRNA from 1 species